CCCUUUAGUAAGAGGAAGAAAGGAGAAUGAAGAUGAAGAAGAAAAAAGGAGAAGAAGAGAAGGGAAGAGAGAAAUUGCGUAGAGAUCGAUUUGCUUGGGAGAUUGCUAGAGGAUUCAGCAAAAAGGAAUCCUAGAUAGCCAUGAGAGAGAUUUCUCAGCACCAGGAGAGAUUGUGGCCUUGAUUUUCAUUAUGAUGAGAGCAGUCAGCUUCAGAGCACGAUGACAUAGUUAUGGAUCAGUUGGCUUGUAUUCUGGAUUUUGAUGAAUUCAGCCAUGGGCAUGACUGCGAAUGUGAUGAUUGUACAUACGGUGGAUAGCAAUAUUGUGGACUGAUGUGGUUGAUUAUCCUUUUGCAUAUAUAUAUAUAUAUAUAUAUGUGGAUAGUGGUGGAAAUCAAUUUUUUGUUGAUACAGGUUGGAGGGUAAAACUACUGUUGGAUGAUAUUUUGUGUAAAUAUUUGUUUUAUAAUGGGAUGAAUGUAUAUAUGUAUGGAAUACUAUAUAUGUGAUUUUGAAUAAUUAUAUAUAUGGUAUCAAAGAUCACAUAGAAGCACUAGGUGGAUAUUAUCUUUAUUUGAUUUUAUAUGAUUCGUUUACGAA